GAGGAAAUGGCUUCAAAGCUGAAUAUUCAGGUCUGGAUUGACGGGGAACAGAGGGAACCUGCAGGGCAGGAUGGAGAAAUGAGGAGGUGAGAGGACAUGGUUGUGACUCUCCUGUGCCUGUAGCUGACAACAGCCAUGUCAGCCCAAGGGGGUAGAUGGGUUUCUUCCCUUGUUUUCCUGCUCUUCUGUGCUUCCUCCAUCCCAAGGCCGGGAAUCGCGGGGCUGCGGCAGGAGCCGAGCCCCCAGCGCUACUUCAGUGGCUUGGAAGCUGGACGAGCAUCCCUGGCCUUUUUCACCCCUCAUGUCUCUCCUGGUGCCCAGCCCUUCCUGGAGCAGAUUGAGAGCUCGACCGAGGCCCUCCAGGACUAUGGCAUUUCUGUGGUG